GCUGCUUCAACAUCAGGGUUGUUUUCCCCAAUGCCCCAGUCUGAGGGCGAUUUGGCCCCUCACCUUUUUAAUGCAGAUCUAAGGGUACUGCUGAGGAAAGGGAGUACCAGUCUGAGCUGUUGUCCAUCCUGUGGCACCAGAGCCAGGUUUACACACUCCCCUUGGGGAAGGUUUGAUUCUACCUGGCUGCUCUUACUCCACCAGAAAAGGUAUGGAUCGAUGCUGCAUGUACAAGAAUCUGCUGCUAAGGUUCUUGAAUUGUCCAGGAACAAGAUUAAUGGAAUAUUCCUGCUUCAGACUUGAGAUGAGAAGUUGGCCUGCAGACAAAUCUACAGGUGUUAGAUGACAACAGACGUGAAUGUCAUCUCAGGUGUUUGGAUUGUCCAUGGACAGGAUUAAUGGAAGAUUCCUGCUUCUGACUCCAGAAGUGAAGUUGGCCUGCAGACCAAUCUUAUACAGGUGCUGGAGCUGUUGUGUCUGUUGCACAAAUCCCCAGCUGCCGGGAGUGUGAUUGCUGCAGCAAUGGAGGCAAGCUGCACCAAGCUGAAGGAUAUGGGGACAUGGUAAAAGGAAGUUGGUCUCCACCCACUGGGCCAGUUUUGUUUCUGCCUACAAAGUGGUGUGAUUGUGUAACUGAGAUAACAAAUAAAAUCUGAAUACAAAGAUUGUCA